UUACGGGGUCAGGCAAUCAUUUUUUAAACUGUUGCAGUUGUUGUUGAGCACGAACUUGAGUAAAGGACUGGUGCUUAGCCGAGAUAAGAUCUUUGACCAAUUGAGCAUAUUCAAGUACCUCUGUAUACGAGUUGGGUCUCAGCAUUGCAACUCGAUCAUAAAUAUCAGCAUAAAGGCCUUUGAGAAAUUUUUUAACUUUUCGGCUUUCAGGUGUGACCAUUAAAGGGGCAAACCCAGACAGUUGAACAAAUCAGGCUGCAUAUUGGGCUAUAGACAAGCUUCA
rnacentral:lncRNA from 1 species